UAACUCGUAAAUUAAAUCGAGUUUAUCGAAAUCCUUACGUCAUUUAUUUGACGAUCGAUUAAUCGAGGUCAAGUUCAGUUUGAUUGAAAAUCUGUCACAUUAAAAUAUCCAACAAAAGUAUCAAAUUAUAUCGUGAAUAAUAAUGCAAUUGAUCGAAGGUAACGAGAAAUCUAUCGCUAAUCAACAACAGGAUUCAACGAACAAGAAAAAAAAGGGGACGUUGAUAAUGAAGGAUAAAAGUUCUAAGGGAAAAUCAAUCGUUAAAUGUCGAUCUAUCAAUCCUUUUAUACACUAUUAUCAAAGUCUUCGCGAAUCCUGCGGAAAACAGCAUUCCUCUUCCGUGAUCGCCAAGAUCGCGGCAUAUCGUUGGAAAUUCAUGGAACCCCGUGCCAAACAGCAGUACAUCGAAGCCGCCAGAAAGCAAUGGCUUCGUCGAAGAAGAGCGUCAAUGGCUCGUAAGAAAUAGCUUCGAACGACCUCCGACCCAGUAAUACUUCAAGAAACCGAUAGAAAGAAAUACCUGAGGCUAUUGCGGAUAUGGAAUCAAAGAACUAAAUCGAUCCGAUCGUUGAAGAAGACUAUUUAUAUCUUUUGUAUACCUUUCUUAAUCGAAACGUCCUAAAAUAACUUAUUGUAUGAAAUUUUAUCCAGUGUAAUAUCUCGUGAUUAAAUGUCGUCGAGUUAAUAAAACAAUGAAAGAAUAA
rnacentral:lncRNA from 1 species